rnacentral:rRNA from 1 species
GGAGCGGCCGAUGUCUGAUUAGCUAGUUGGUGGGGUAAUGGCCUACCAAAGCUUCGAUCAGUAGCUGGUCUGAGAGGACGGCCAGCCACACUGGGACUGAGACACGGCCCAGACUCUACGGGAGGCAGCAGUGGGGAAUUUUGGACAAUGGGCGCAAGCCUGAUCCAGCCAUGCCGCGUGAGUGAAGAAGGCCUUCGGGUUGUAAAGCUCUUUCAGUCGGGAAGAAAAGGUUGCGACUAAUAAUCGCAAUUCAUGACGGUACCGGAAGAAGAAGCACCGGCUAACUACGUGCCAGCAGCCGCGGUAAUACGUAGGGUGCGAGCGUUAAUCGGAAUUACUGGGCGUAAAGGGUGCGCAGGCGGUUUUGUAAGUCAGAUGUGAAAUCCCCGGGCUUAACCUGGGAAC